rnacentral:rRNA from 1 species
UGUAAGCGUAUACCAAAGUUGUUGCAGUUAAAACGCUCGUAGUCGGAAUUUGGCAGUUCCGGAUGUGUGCACGUCGUGUGCGCACUUCGCGGGGAUUGCUCUUGUGGUCUUGCGUAGGAUGAGGCACUUUUAUUAGUGAACGUCCUCACGCAACCACUUUUUACUGUGAGAAAAUCAGAGUGCUCAAAGCAGGCAUUUGCCGUGAAUGUAUUAGCAUGGAAUAAUAGAAUAGGACUUGGUUCUAUUUUGUUGGUUUGUUGGGACUGAGUAAUGAUUAAGAGGGACAGUUGGGGGCAUUUGUAUUUCGGUGCUAGAGGUGAAAUUCUUAGAUUACCGAAAGACAAACUGCUGCGAAAGCGUCUGCCAAGGAUGUUUUCAUUGA